CCUCCCCUCUUCCUGUUCACGCGAGGGAGAGCCGCCGCCGCCCCGUCCCCUUCCAAACUCCUCUCUUCCCUGCCUCCCCUCGCGCCGCCGGCCAUCCUCCCCGUCCGCCGCCGCCGGCCAUCCUCCCCGUCCGCCGCCGCCGGCCAUCCUCCCCGUCCGCCGCCGCCACUGACCAGCCACAGCUGCGCUACCAUCCCCUCCCCUUACCUCGAUUCAGAUCCUCUCCUCUGCUCUUCUCUUGUUCCUUCUCUCCUGACCCCCUCACUUGUUUGUUCGAUCUAGAGCAGCAGCCACCCUCCAUGGACGAGGACGACCACCACAGCAACGACGGCGCCCCUCACAUGGUCGAGCUCGACGGAAGAGUGCUCGCCAUGGCCGCGUUCGUCUGCUCCGGUGUGGUGCAGCCGAGGUUGGCCAACGACGAGGUCGUGUACCACCGCCUCGAUGGCUCCUAGCGCGGGGGAUGUAUUUCUAAUGUCCAGGUAAACCGGUUUACAAUGCAGAGGUCCCUUCACACUACAGGAAAGUGACAAUCAGUAAAAGUUAAGGUCAGACUUUGGAGAAGGGCGUUAGAGGAUUUGAGUAGAGGCUGGCGAGUGGUGUCCACAGAUUGUACAGCGACCAAGCGGCGUGAAGAAUCAAUGUGGAUCUAUCAUUACCAUAUGGACUAGGACAUUCAAAAGGCAGUGACUGUUGCCUCUGCUGUAUCGACGACCCUGAUCAUGUUGGACAGAUAAAUAAGAUAUUACUACUCCCUCCGUUCCUAAAUAUUUGUCUUUCUAGAGAUUUCAAAUGGCUACCACAUACGGAUGUAUAUAGACAUAUUUUAGAGUGUAGAUUCACUCAUUUUGCUCCGUAUGUAGUCACUUGUUGAAACCUCUAGAAAGACAAAUAUUUAGGAACGGAGGGAGUAGAUGUGAAGUUCUUUCCUCUACAUGGACGGGCGCGGCAAUCGCACGCAUUUGUGAUCUAGGAUAAAUGCUUUUGCUUUAUCAUAGGCCACUAAACAUGCUAAGCUUGUGUGGCUGGAACACACGCUUAGCGGGAGAAGCACGAGGCGCUGCACCUCUGACCCUGUAGUGCUUGGCUCCAAUUCAUCAGGGAAGACGCCGACAAGCAUCAAGCUGCCCUUGGUGCUUCCUCGUCAUCAAGGAGGAGGACGUCAGGAAGUGCCGUCCUCAAGGUACGUCCUCGCGGCUUUGACCUGCCUCUUUCAUGCACCUUAUCCUUCCCUAUUUCUCUUGCUGUCGCCAUGUUCGUGCCGCCCUAACCUAGGUUGCCAUCGCUCCUCGGCGCUCUGCGGGCACAGCCGUCACCACACCACAGAGAAGGACGAGGAUGUGAUGCUGCUCCUUCUUGUGGUGUAUGCGUCGGCGUGGCUUGCGGUAAUGAGGCAUAUCCUCGUGGGCAAUGCUAUUUGAAGAUCAUUCAUGUGAUUUAAAAGAGAAGAUGUCCAGAAUGUCUACGCUAUUUGAAGACCAUUCAUGUGAUUUAAAAGAGAAGAUGUCCAGAAUGUCUAAGGAGGUUGAAGAUGACGAUCAAAAGAUUGAUAAGUGACUGCCAAGAUGCCAAUAAUGCUUGCCCCGUGCCAUUAGACCGGCACCCUCGCGCCAAGGCGUGAUUCCGAUCUAGUUAUUAUUUAUUCACAGCGAUCUGUGAGAAUCUCCAGUCCACCGAAACCUUCCUUUUUCGGAGUAUUUCUGAAGAAAAAGCAUAGGGCACUGUAUUUGACAGCAGAUUCGGUGCGAAAAGCCUCAUCACUAGCAGCGGAUUAGGAAUCCGGGCCCCUUCUCCUCCUUUGGACCGCUUUCUCCCCAUCCACACCACUACUGGAAUCGCUCCUCCCUUUUCUUCUUCCCCCUUUUCCGCCCCCCUUUUCCCAGCUCCUUGCACAGCCAACAAGUCCGGAUCGAUCAGCCCGAGCCCCCUGCGACUCCGCCACCGCGCCGUCUCCCCAACCCCCGCCUCAGUCCCGCCCCAAACCCCGCCUCUCGCGCCCGUCGCCGGUCCCGCUCUUGCUCGCCGCCGGGACGCCGCGCUCCUGCUAUCUACCCCCCACCCCGUCCCAGCCCCUGCCCGUUGGGUUUUGAGGGAGAGCGGAAGGGGCCGAGGAAGGGAUUAGGGCUGGAGCAGGGAGCGCGCAGGCGGCGACAUGUCGGGGGAGGACGUCCGCAAGGUCUCUCGCCAGGACAUACAGCUCGUCCAGAAUCUCAUCGAGCGCUGUCUCCAGCUGUAUAUGAACCAGAAAGAAGUGAUUGAUACCCUCUCCCUUGAGGCCAAGAUAGAACCGAGCUUUACUGAACUUGUUUGGCAAAAGCUUGAGGAAGAGAACCGUGAGUUUUUUAAGGCAUACUAUUUGAGGCUGAUGCUUAAGAAUCAAAUAACGGCCUUCAACAAGCUUCUUGAGGAUCAGUUCCAGCUUAUGAACAAAGACUAUUCUUCGGGAAUCCCUUCUAUGCCUCUCACUAAUGGCUCCAACUCCACAACAUUGAAGCAAAACUCGUGCUUUUUACCAGAGUCUGGUCCCAUAUCUGCUAUGCCAAAUGGUGCGAUGCGCAACGGAAGUUCAGGUGGUUUAAUAAAUGGAACAUCAUCUGGUGAUCAGUCAAUUUAUGGUGGCAAAGACAUUCACGGUCCUCAUAGUGGUAUGGAUGCUUCAACCAGCGUGCUACCAGCCCAGAAUGCAUCUGCUUUGCUGUAUGGUGCAGAUAAUAAUGGUACAACAAUAAAGACAGAGUCAAGCUAUUCGAGCAACGCUGAUUUUGCUUUCUGUGGGAAUGCUUUCCUUGAAUCAUGCCAAUCAAUUGGCGAUGCCUCGGCUGGUUCUUUUAGCAGCUCAGAGUUGAACGGGCAACCACUGAAUGAUGCACUUUUGGAUAUGGAGUCAUCGUCAUUUGGCUUCUUGAGCCAGAUUCCCCAGAAUUUCAGUUUUUCAGACUUAACAGAGGGGUUCAACCAAAAUACAGAAGUAUUGGAGAAUUAUGGCAGGUCACCAUUUCUCUCAUCUGAGCCAAAUAACUUCUCAGAUUCUACAGGUGGAGAACAUACAGGCUGAGCAGCUACCCGCCAUUUUGUACAUAUUCAUGGAGAACUUGAGCAACUUUCAUGCUAGCCUUUUCCCUUGUCAGUUCCGCUGUCUUGUAAUGUAGAGUAUGGGAUGAGUUGUAACUUGAUCAAAAGAUGCAGCAGAUCUGGCCCCCGGUCGCUUGCCGAAGGUAUUGUAGUUGUGCCCUGCCUUGUACAUUGGUGUUGUGCUGUAAGAUCAGCAUUAGCAGCUGUGAUGUUAAAUUUGCUGGGUUAAUGGGUUAUGUUCUUGUCUGGCAUGUACAACAGAAGUUUAUUAAUUUCAAGUGAAUGCUGAAGUGAGAGUUUGAUUUGUGAUGGC
rnacentral:rRNA from 1 species